rnacentral:rRNA from 1 species
UACGGAGGAUGCGAGCGUUAUCCGGAUUUAUUGGGUUUAAAGGGUGCGCAGGCGGCGAGUCAAGUCAGCGGUCAAAAUUCGGUGCUCAACGCCGUACCGCCGUUGAAACUGGCGCGCUCGAGUGCGUGGGAGGAUUGCGGAAUGCGCGGUGUAGCGGUGAAAUGCAUAGAUAUCGCGCAGAACUCCGAUUGCGAAGGCAGCAGUCCAUCACGCUACUGACGCUCAUGCACGAAAGCGUGGGUAUC